UAUUUAUUAUAAAAUAUUUUUUAAAAACAUAAUAAUUUUCUUAAUCUUCGCGCUUUUAGCCAAAACUACUUAUAUUAUGAAACGGAUGGAGUAUUUUUUAAUUAAUUUAAAGUUCAUUGAAAACUGUGUGACCAAUAAUAUUUUAUAAUAUUUUUAAUGAUUGGCUGAAUUAGAUUUAUUUUAUAUCUUUAGUAUUAUUUUUUAGGAAAAUGAGUAUGUCUUAAUUCUUG
rnacentral:lncRNA from 1 species